rnacentral:rRNA from 1 species
GACGAACGCUGGCGGCGUGCCUAAUACAUGCAAGUCGAGCGGGGAUUAUGCUUGAUCGCUUCGGUGAGACGGCAUAUAUCCUAGCGGCGGACGGGUGAGUAACGCGUGGGUAAUCUACCUCGUAGUUCGGGAUAACAGGCCGAAAGGCUUGCUAAUACCGGAUGAGUUCAUGCUUAUGCAUAUAGGCAUGAAGAAAGGGCUAGCCCGCUAUGAGAUGAGCCCGCGUCCCAUUAGCUUGUUGGUGGGGUAAUGGCCUACCAAGGCAACGAUGGGUAGCCGGCCUGAGAGGGUGUACGGCCACACUGGGACUGAGACACGGCCCAGACUCCUACGGGGGGCAGCAGUAGGGAAUUUUGGACAAUGGGCGCAAGCCUGAUCCAGCCAUUCCGCGUGCAGGAUGAAGGCCUUCGGGUUGUAAACCUGCUUUUGUACGGAACGAAACGGCGAGCUCUAAUACAGUUUGCUAAUGACGUACCGUAAGAAUAAGCACGGUA